AGUUUGGCAAGAAUGUGGCUGUUUUGGAUUACGUCGAACCUUCUCCACGAGGAACCAAGUGGGGACUUGGUGGAACUUGUGUAAACGUUGGCUGCAUUCCUAAAAAGCUUAUGCAUCAGGCAGCCCUUUUAGGGGGAGCUCUUAAAGAUGCCCAGCACUAUGGCUGGAGUGUGGCCCACCCAGUUCAUCACAGCUGGUCUGUGAUGGCUCAAGCUGUUCAGAAUUAUGUGAAAUCCCUGAACUGGGGACACAGAGUGCAGCUACAAGACAAAAAGGUGAAAUAUUUCAACAUGAAAGGAAGUUUUUUGGAUUCCCAUACAGUCUGUGGUUUAGCAAAAGGAGGUAAAAAGACUACUCUUACUGCUGAAAACAUUGUCAUUGCUACUGGAGGAAGACCCAAAUAUCCCACGCAUAUUACGGGCGCACUGGAGUAUGGAAUCACAAGUGAUGAUCUGUUCUGGUUAAAAGAGUCUCCUGGAAAAACGUUGGUUGUUGGAGCCAGUUAUGUUUCGCUUGAAUGUGCUGGUUUUCUAACUGGUAUUGGGUUGGACACUGCAGUCAUGAUGAGGAGUAUCCCACUUCGUGGGUUUGAUCAGCAAAUGGCAUCUUUAGUAACUGAGCACAUGGAAUCUUAUGGCACAAAAUUUUUAAAGAAAUGUGUCCCAACUAAAGUUGAAAAAUUGGGAAGCAGCAAGUUACAAGUCACCUGGAAAAAUACUGACUUGGGCACAGAAGAAACGGAUUCCUUUGACACAGUGAUGUGGGCAGUAGGCCGGGUCCCUGACAUUGGAACUCUCAAUUUGGAGACUGUUGGAGUGAAAACUAAUUCUGAAACUGGAAAGAUCAUUGUUGAUGCCAGUGAAGCUACUUCUGUUCCUCACAUUUAUGCAAUCGGAGACAUAACAGAGGGCCGUCCUGAACUGACACCCACAGCAAUAGCUGCAGGGAAGCUGCUGGCCCGGCGUCUUUUUGGCCACUCUUCAGAACUGAUGGACUAUGACAGUGUACCUACUACAGUUUUCACUCCCUUGGAAUAUGGUUGUGUUGGACUGUCAGAAGAAAAGGCUGUGCAGUGUUAUGGGUCAGAUAAUAUUGAGGUAUUCCAUGCUUAUUAUAAACCUCUGGAGUUCACAGUGGCUGAAAGAGAUGCAGCUCAGUGUUAUAUGAAAAUGGUGUGCUUACGAGAGGGAGAGCAACGAAUCCUCGGCCUUCAUUUCAUUGGACCAAAUGCUGGGGAAGUUAUUCAAGGAUUUGCUCUUGGAAUCAAGUGUGGUGCUACGUACCCUCAGCUAAUGAAGACGAUUGGCAUUCACCCUACCUGCGCUGAGGAAAUUACCAAGCUGCAUAUUACAAAACGUUCCGGCCUGGAUGCAACAGUAACAGGUAUUGUUUACUCUUAAUGUUAGAAGUACAUGUGAAGGAAGCUGGACUCAGAGCGAUUAAUAAGGAAAUGUUGGCCCCUGCCUCCCUCUGAUGCAGAAACUGAAUGGCCAUUAUUCCAGGCUGGGAGACCUUCAAAACUAUUUAAAUUUGAAUUCAAAACAACUCUAGAUGAAGUUCUAAUUAGGAUAGCUAGGAUUACUGGCUAAAAAGGGAAUGAGAGAACAUGAAGAACAGGACUGUUGUGGGAUAUUUUCCUAUCCUUCUUCCCCUUAGCAUAAAGCAAGAGGGUGAAGAGGAAGUGCAUUAAUUUUCACAUGAAGGCAAGUUGUACAAACACAGCUGAAAACAUCAGAAAACACAGGCAUUUUCCUUAGAGAAAUGGAAUCGAUGAACGUUCUACUGAAAAGACUGCUAAGUAAUUGGGAAGAUGUUGAUCCAUUAACCAAGCUUGGGAGGAGGAGUAUGCAGUUCAAAGGUCAAAUGUAUGAAAGCAAAGCCUGCUUAAUAUACCAAGAGCUCUUUGUAAAUUUGAUUCUAACUUGAGAAGUUAGAGAGCUGUGAAGGGCCCUUCCAAACACUUCCAUUUUGUUUUCUGAGGGUUGAGUCUGCAGUGACGCAAUUUUACUGGCACAGAACUUGGAAGAUGUUGUACCAGAACAAAACAAAGUGUGUCUGGAAGCAUCUUGUCCUAAAAACCGUUUGCGGGCAGUACAGAUUUCCUUAUGGAGGCUGUCUCAGGUACUGUGCGAGGCUUGGCACAUAGACACAACCAGAAAUGCAGGCGAGACUUCGUGGAGCAAAGUGUCCAAGUGCUGAGUGAGUGCCCAAUGGGCCAUAGCAAAAUGCGCAACCAAGUCAAAGAAAAACGGAAAAUAUUUCAUAAAAUUCAUCUCUGCAUCCCUUUUUCCUCUCUUGAUAUACGGCCUCUUACUCACAGCUGCCCGGGCCGCGGCCUGCGUGUAAAUAUGUCAGAGCAGCAAUGAGACGGAACGCGGACACAGAAAUGCCAGCGGCUGCUCGCAGAUAAAACGCCGAGCUGAAGCCGAGGCGUUUAUUGUAAAUGGAGAUCAAGGCAAAGCAGCAACGUUUCUGUUCGACUUCAGCCUGCCAAGGUUACUCGUCCAACUCCUUUCACGACUACCAUAUGUCCACAUGCAUUUCCCCCUCCAGAAAGUGAAAUGUUACUCUUAUGACAGCUCUGUAGCCAUUGCAAGUUCCUCGAUACUUUCCAUGUGUUGUUUUGCAAUAACCUGGAAACGCUGUUGGCAGAUGGGCCGGGGGGUGCGUGUGUGUGCGUGCACGGGAGAGGGAGGCUGCCAGCCUGCCGGCCGUUGGAGCCUAACACUGCUGUACCUUAACAGUAACUGCAGGGCCUGGGAAGCAUUGAUGCUCUUUUUUGUUCUUUUCAGCAGGGGGCACUGGAUCCUGUAAACAGGAAUUGGUACAUUGCAGCUCAAAGGGCCAAACAGCUUUAGCAGAUGGGGUGAUUUUUUUUUUUCCUCUUGAUACUUGUGAUGUGGAAGAGAAGUCUGUGCACCCACUGACAGAGAGGCAUCCAGCAGUAUGUGUUGCAGGUGAUAGAUUUCUUUUUCUUGUAUGUUUUGUUUUAAUUAAAGUGGCAGCUUAUAAAAAUGGGUCACUUGGAAACCAGGCUGGUUAAAGCGUUAGCCAUCUGGCAUCCUUCUGAACAGCAGCACCAGCCAGCUGGCACAACUGGGGAAUAUGCAAGCACCUACAAACUACAGCCUGAACAGCACAGGCUGGCACAGAACCUGUUUGAAUUGUAGAGACUUGUUCCAGCACUCUGUAGAGGAACUGCAGGAGUACUCUGUGAGGAGUUAAUCAGGGAGUUUAGCCUUCUACACAGCCCUUGAUCCAAAAUGCCCAAAUUUUCAACUUAUUUCUUCCAACACACGUGUCGUUCUCAGUAAUACCCAACAUGCUGUAUUAUCAAUGUGCUCCACCCUCUCCUUUUUGUCCCUCUGUGCUGGGGUUUGCAUUUUCCUAAAUGGUGGCUCAGAUGAACUGUAAGCCAAAGUGACGGAGAAAAAUAUUAGAAACCUUGCUUUUUUUCAGAUGACUUUUUAAAAUGUAUUUCCCACAUCUACCUUGCAACAUAAUUAUUUCAGUAACGGAAGUUUUAAUGCCAAUAAAAACGAUACGUUAAAAAAAAACUUCCUAAGCCUUCAUCUGGCACUAAACUAACAUCUUGAAAAUGUGGCUCCACUAACUCACAUAAUUCAAGAAUAAGAAAUAAAGUUAUUCUUUUUCACACUUCACAGGUACUGACCUAUGUUCUUGAGCUGACAUGAAAUGCUUCACUUUAAAGACUGCUCAAAUACUCUUUUAGACAAGAAAACUGAAUACUAUCACAAUACAUGCUUUACCUCUGCUACUGGAAGGCCAGUUUUUCCUGUAAAGCCGCUGGUUAGUUAUUGAGGGGUUCACACUUGUAUAGCUACACGUCUUAUCCCACCCUGGCAAUGGCCAGCCACCAGCUGGAAGUUAAAAGUGCUUGAAAAUGUGACUGCAUCUCACAGCAUCUACUGAUUCCUGAGCUUAGCAGGACUUGGCGCUUUUCUUUCCCAUGCUUUCUCUCCCAAGUCUGAGCUCUUGCCCUGGCAGUGCAACACGAUUUGAGAGCUGCCCAUAAUGGCAUACAGCCCAUAAGGCUGGCCACUGGCCUGCAAUGCUGUAUGCUGCUGUUCCCACUUAAAUCAGGUAGAAGCCAUUGAUUGCUUAGGGCUCUAGGUUUGUUCUUUUAUUAAAUAGCAGGCCCUAACAAUUGCUAGUGUUCACCAAGAAGAAGUGUGAUGAAAGGCCAUAUUAUGUCAGGCUCAAUUGUAUCUUUUCAUCUGUCCUACUUGGUAUGGCAUGUUCCAGGUGGAGGCUGGCAGGAUGCUAGUGCUAAAACCUGCCCUCUAGCAGCAAAAAAAGUAUCCUAGGUCCUCAUCCCAUGUUCAGAUCUCAGCUCCCUUUGCUACCCUUCUCCCAUCAAAAUCUUUUGAUAUGUGGAUACCUGCUGAGUGGGUACUUCACUAUUCUGAGAAGGGAGAUCAGUAUCUUCUAACUUCUUUACAGAUAUAUGUGCUCUUGAAGUGAUUCUUACAGUCUGUGUUAGGCUAGAUCAGGUCUGUGUUUUGUACCCAGCUUCACCUUCUGCUACAGAUGCCUGACACCAAAAAUCAUUAUUCCUUAACACCACAUGAUACCGAAACAGGCAGAUGGUAAACUUGGCCACAACUUGGUUUGGUAGCAACUUCCCUUAGCAGUUUUAAAGUGUGGGCUUUUAUUUUGUUUUUCUUUUUUUGUUUUUGUUUUCUCCCAGGUUAAUGGGAUAUAUGGACAGGAGACUUCAGCUUAAUUCCCUGGAAUCAGGACAAUUUGAGGUGUUGCCUAGCUCAGCCCUCCGACAGGAAAGGAAAGAAUAACUUGAACAUCUCUCCAGUCAUUUCCUGAUAUUUGCUGUUAGUGAACAGAUGUAAUUCACUCCAAAAGGCACUGCCAAGUGCUCCUGCGUGUCUGAUCUACUAAGCAAGGUUGGUAGCACCAGCUCUCCAUAAGAUUUCCCUCUCCUGAGGAGAGGCUGGUGUCAGCCCCAGCUAACUCUCAGAGGCCUGACAUCAAACUGGUUGGAGUUCUGUUAGAAGUCAACUGAAAACCUGUUGCUGUUAUUAUCUGACACUGGCUGAAACAAAAGCCAAAUGUUGAUGAAUGUCUGAUCCUAAAAGUAAACAUUUUGUUUUUUUUUUCUCUUUGCAAGUCAGGGGCCUUUUAGGGUUUUAUCUGAUUUUGGCAGUCUGUUGCACAUUUUGGGGCCUGGAGCAUGGUUUUAAUUGUUACAUCACAAAAGUUGCCAAAUAAUGUUGAAUGCUCCUUAAAAACUCUCUCAAUUUUAUGGAACUUCUCAACGGCUUGACUAAUACAAUAAUUGCUGGAACCCAGCUAUGUUGCCUAGUGGCAAAUGGAAUUUUUUCAUAAUGAUGCUGUCUGUCAUUAAUAGCAGGAUUUGUUCUUUCUCUCAGUGGGAGAGAGGCCAGAAAUCAAUGGUAUCUGUCUUUUUUAAUGACAGCCAACAGCAAACGGAUAAAAUAAUCAAUUACAUCUAUAGCUAGGUAGAUAAAGUAUAAUUUAUCAUGUCAAAAACAAAAAUGUUUUUAAUUGGGCUGUUAAUCAUUUUGUAAUUUUAACUAACGAGAUGAGGGCACUAUUUUAUGCUCAGACAUCACUAAUAUUUUGUACAAUAUUAACUGAUCUUAUAAUAGUUUUAAUAGCAGUGUUUACUACUAUCUGCCAAAAUAAGAAACACCAUUUCUGCUUUCAUUAGCUGAAGCCUUUGCAGUUACAAAGGGCUGCCAUUCUCUUUCAUUUUUCUCCCACUGGAAGGAUCCAGGUGAAGAAAAGGGUCUGGCUCACGAACCAGCUCUGAGUUUCUAAAAUACCAUGGGCUGUUUGAUUAGGAGCGUGCACACCCUGGUUACCACCAAACAUGUUACUGAAAUGAUAAUUAUUUUUUUAACAGGAAAACUUAAAAGCAGAUUAGUGUAACAGCAAAGGCUGAAAGUGAGGAGUUUUGAUGUCUAGCCACACCUGUGUUGUCGUGUGGGAAGCUGGGCAGAUCACUUAAUCCCUCCUAACUUGUUCUCCCUGUCUGCAACAUAAGUAUUAGGUGCUUCAUCAUGCUGCUGUGGAGUACGUUGGUGGGGCAAGAUUCCUCAAAAUUUCAUUUAAAAAUGGCAAACAUCCGGGGAGCUGGCAGCAAAAGGAGCCUCUCCAAUGAGCUUUGAGGAAAGAGAGAGGAAGUUUAUAACUGGAGCCGAAUCUUCCCCACAUUCUAACUGAAAACGUCCUCAUGAUGCCUGAUAAGUGGGAAAUCAUCUACCAGAUAAAUCUCACAGCACUGGGGUAAUUUGGCUGUCUACUCUUUUGAUAUUCAUGUUAUUCAUAUCAAUGUCACGACUAGAUAAUGCUGUUUGGGACAAGAUCUCUAUCUUGCCUAUAAAAUCCACAUUUAGAAAAUUCCAGGCAUGCUAGGAAAUGUGAUUCUUGAGAGCCCCUGUGUGUGAAAUACAUGGCAUUACUUCCCUGCUUCAGAAGUGCUGUGCAGCCACUGAACUCUUAACUUCCCUCAGAAAAGCUCUGCCUUUCUGCCUUAAAUCAAGAGUUGUUCUUGGAAGUAUCUACAUGCAUGGAAUACUGUCUGCUAAGGGCAAAUUUCACUUUGUAACUGUGACUUUGUUAUGGCUUUAGCUCUUUGUCCACAGCAUCUCCCAGCGUUGCAUGUAACACAGAGGGGCAGGACUGCCCUUCUGGUAACUGGAUCUUCCCUGAGAGUGGUGGAAAAUAUCAGAUGCUGAGUGGGUUUUUUACAGGUCUAAUGGCAUCACUGAGGCAGUAUUUAGACUGGGAAAUAGGGAGGAGAGACUAUGGGACUGACUUUCCUAAGCAUGAAUACAUGGACAUUCAAAACAUUCCCAGAGAGUCACGUUGCACAACUUAAUGGGCCUGGUGCCCUCACCUGUGCCUAUUUUAUGUGACUCUUAACUCUGGCAUUAAAUAGAAACAAGACUUGUGCUAAUGACAUCCACAGCCCGUGGUGAAGAAAAAAUGCUGCUACUUUGAUACAGAUCCCCUUUUAAGGAGGACACAAUAGACAGCCAAGGCUUUUUCCCAUCUGCUAGCUGAAUGUUACAGUUCCUGGCCCAGAAACGUGCCCUCAGCAACACCCCUCUAUUUUCAGUGUUACACUAGAUAAUUUUUAAUAAGAAAAUGGUUAUCUACUGCCCCUGUGUUUGCCACCUUGACUUUACCCUCCUUCUCCAUUAGGUGAAAGGGAGGGAAAAGAAGGAGCAGGGUUGGCUGGGGGAGGGGAGCAAAUAACUUGGGGAGGGCGUUAAAUAGACCAGCUGCUAUGUGUGAAGUAUCUGCUUUCUAAUUGCUUCUGUUGGAAUUCAGGGGAUAAAGGCACUGGCUACACUUAAUUAAUAAGGCAGGACUCACAUAAACUCCAGCUGUGAGCACAGGACUGGUCUUUAAAGGAUAAGCUCAGGAGGUGAGGCAGAGAGUUUGAUUUUGUUGCAUGAAAUCCCACCACACGCUGCUGGUGGUGUCUGUCCAUCCGUCUGUCCACCCAUCCACUUAAGCCUUUUGCUCUCAGCUAGAGGUGAGGUAUCUGUUACUGUCUGUGCCCCAGCCCAAAGAAAACUGAUCUGUCCUCAGAAAUCAAAGAUGUGAGGCUAUGUUUCAAGCUAGGAUGAAACUGUUGUGCUUUCAUCCUAGCUUGGAAUCCCCCAAAAGAGAUGUUUGGAUCAAAGGUUUGGUCAGGUUUAACAAAAAUACGAGCUUUUGCAAAGAUGUAGGCUUGGCCUGUAGCCCUCUUUUCUGCCUCGUUUCAGAGGAUCUGCAUUUUGCAUCCAGAACAUCUCUCUUUCUCAUCCAGACUCUCUGCCUGAGGGGGUUUGCUACAGGGGUAGGUCUGGUGGGGUGCUGUACAGCUGAUGCCUUCGGAUCGUCUCCAGUGAUGUCUCUGAGGAACACGGUGGUUCUUCCCUUCCUUUCCCUUCCCUCAAAAAGGUGACCAGGAAUUUCCCUGAGAUACAGACAAGGCCCCUGAAACUCACAUGAGAAUGUGAAUGUCACACUGUUCCCCAUUUGUUCCGGUUCCGUUAUCACUGCCAUGGGACCCCCCACAUCAGUGCAAGGUCCUCCCAGGCAGGUCACAGCAGCGCUUCUGUGGGGUGGCACCUCCGAAUUUCAAAGCUUGCUGUGCAGGUGCGCUACACUAGGAAACGGUGGAAUCAGAAGCAAAGGUGGAAGGGAUGUUCCCAUGUAGUUAAGAGUCUGUUUUUCCUCACUAGCUGUGUAAGGAAAUGAGCUUCCUGCAUAGGAUGAGACGUCAUUUGCUGUCCUGAAGUCUUUGUGGCCUGACUGGUCUGCUCUUUUAGGUGCCAGCAGCCAGGGCAGGUCUGUUCCGUGUGUGAUUGCUCUCCCUCGUGUGCCUUGACAUGUCUUCCAGGAGGAUCUGUUCCAUGAUCUUCCCAUGCACAGAGGUGGGGCUCACCGGCCUGUAGUUCCCCAUGUCCUCCUUCCUCCGUCCUCGUAAAUGGCAGUGAUGUUUCCCUUUUUCCAGACCCCAGGGACUUUGCGUGACAGCCACGACUUUUCAGGUAUGACAGAGUGGCUUGGCACCCAUAUCAGCCGGGUCCCUCGGGUCCCUGGGAUGUGUGUCUUCUGCCCCAUAGACUUGUACACGUUCAGUCCCAGGAGGUGAUGCUGGACUUGCCCUUUGAGUUGGGGGGAGUUUGCUCCUCCGUUUCCCGCCUAGAGGUUCGGGGGAUGUGAGCUUCAGGGGUGUGAGAAAUAUGAGAUUCCUGGCUGCCAUUUCAUUUAAGGAUGAGAAUAGUGUCUUUUUUCUUUUUAAGUAUGGAUCAAUCAUGUAUGAAGAUGAACUCCCACUCAGCCUCCCUUCAUCCCUAAUACUUUCAUUUCAUUCUCCUGCUGCUUGCUCUUUUAUGGUUUUGUCCUUGACUGGUAACAUUUCUCUCUUGUUCUCCCUUACAUGCACCAUUAAGAAUGGGAAGAACUUCUAUUAAAAACUCAAGCCUCAUGUAGAUCUUAAGCUGUAAAUAAUGUUUUAUACAGAUUCUAAGAUUGUUAAAUCCUUCCAGUUUGCCUCCCUCCUACUUCAGCCUACAGUUCAUUUGAUUAGAGCAGAGAUAUUCUUUUGAAAAUGAACUGUUUCUGUUUUGAUUUUGCAAGCAGCCUUGAGAAGAUACAGUCUGGCUGUGUGCAUUGUUAAUCAGAAGAUUGGCCACAUGAAUCCAGAAACACUGCCUUCAAGAGAACUGACUGCUGACAUGUAAAAAAAAGCACACCAGAGAAACCCUGGAAUUCUGAGAUGUAGUUGACUUUCUAAAUACAGGCAAGUUGCAAUUAAAAACCAGUUACUUGGGGAGAGAUGCAUUCAAAAUACAGAUCUUUGGAGGGGGCUGGCAGGCACAUCACAAGUGAAAUAAAUUAGUAAUGUGAGGAGGUAGCUAUGCUCAAGGAUUAACUAAUUUUGGACAGCUGUAGGAGCCAACCCACUGGGCUCUGUGCAUUGCCUCACUGUAAGUAUUUAUCCUGCUCCUCUGGAUACCAGGGCAUCACAGAGCCAGGCAUCUGAAAUGCAGCUUUUCCUUACGAAUGCAACUAAACCAGCUGCUGCAUUUUGCAGAGAUCCUGACACUGUAGUGCUGAGCUGCUCUCCAUCUCGCUUGAUGAAAUCUGCUCACCUCAGCCUGCGUGUUAGGGGAAUGGCCAGUCAGUCAGGCUUUGCUAGUAUGGGGCUGAGCAUGGAAAUGAGUAGAAAUAUCCUGAGCGAUAUUUACUGCAAAGCUGCUGAAAAGCUUCACAGUAGACAGCCUACACAACCAAACUAUCUCCUCCAAUUAGUCCAUGGUCAUCAAUGAGGUAAAUGUCUCUGCCUUCUGACCCAGACAGGGUGGAGUUUUAAUAACAGACAUAAAUCUGUUGUGCUUCUCUCCUCAUGACCUAACAUAUGCUGUCAGGGCAAUGCAUGCCUCAGAGAAGUAGAAUUUAUGUGUACGAUAAAACAAUAGAGCGUCAGUGCUAUCAGCUGUUUGAUGAACUUUAAUAUACAUCUGCUAUAAAAAAGGCAGCGAGCACCAGAAUGUGAUACUCAAAUAAAAACCCUUGAUCCAUUUGCAUGACAGAUCCUCAAUUUACUCACAUUCACGUGAGGGACACACAUAAAAAUUAUAUCCACCCUUAAAUUCACUUAGAAGCAGCCUGAAAUACCCCCCAGUUGCAAGUGAUACUGCAGUUCUUAGCUAAUACUCAUGUUUCCGUGGCUUUGCCUUCAUGAUUCUUCCAGUGGUUCCUUUAUGUUUUCUGGUAUUUUGCCAAACACCUGUGAAUCGGUGCACAACAAAUAUUCUUGCCAUUUAAUUUAGACUUGCACAGAAAGGCUAUAGUAGGCCGGCUGCACACCUAAUCCCAAACCUCUAAAGAGGUUUAAGGCACUCUGGUUUCACCUAAUCCCGAAACCUAAACCAGAAUCAUUGAAAAACUCCAUGACACCAUAGGAAUGGGCAAAUAAAGGGUUUCCACUAU